AGAGCACCGUGUUCUUGGCCAGGAUCUUGUGGCGCCGCAUCCCCUUCGGAUCUUCAAACCUAUGGCCUGCAGGCAGUGGCUCCCAUCAGUUGUGCUCCUUUUGACGAAGAAACAGGAGCUCCUUCAGGCACCGUGGGCUGCGGCGGUGAAGCCUCCUCAGUCGAGUCAGAGCCUGAAACGUAACGGCUAUACCUUGAAUCUCGCACCCUGCAAGCUUCAUCACAUUUUGCUCUCGCUGAAAGGUACACAGGCACUGUGCUUGGAUACGUGAAGCUAGAAUGAAACGAAAUGGACCGGUGGAGGGCGGAUGUCACCGUGUUGGUAGCAGUGUCAUCGCAAGAGAAAGAGACAAGCUUUGUGCAUAGCUCAUCCAUUGCAGGAAAUAGUUUUGACAAAAU